rnacentral:rRNA from 1 species
AACGAACGCUGGCGGCAGGCUUAACACAUGCAAGUCGAGCGCCCCGCAAGGGGAGCGGCAGACGGGGGAGUAACGCGUGGGAAUCUACCCACCUCUACGCAAUAACGCAUGGAGACGUGAGCUAAGACCGUAUACGUCCUUCGGGAGAAAGAUUUAUCGGAGAUGGAUGAGCCCGCGUUGGACUAGCUAGUUGGGGGGGUAAAGGCCUACCAAGGCGACGAUCCAUAGCUGGUCUGAGAGGAUGAUCAGCCACACUGGGACUGAGACACGGCCCAGACUCCUACGGGAGGCAGCAGUGGGGAAUAUUGGACAAUGGGCGCAAGCCUGAUCCAGUCAUGCCGCGUGAGUGAUGAAGGCCCUAGGGUUGUAAAGCUCUUUCACCGGUGAAGAUAAUGACGGUAACCGGAGAAGAAGCCCCGGCUAACUUCGUGCCAGCCGCCGCCGUAAUAC